UACGUAGGGGGCAAGCGUUGUCCGGAAUCAUUGGGCGUAAAGGGCGCGUAGGUGGCCCGGUCAGUCCGUGGUGAAAGCGCGGGGCUCAACCCCGCGUCGGCCAUGGAUACUGCUGGGCUGGAGCACUGUAGAGGCAGGCGGAAUUCCGGGUGUAGCGGUGGAAUGCGUAGAGAUCCGGAAGAACACCGGUGGCGAAGGCGGCCUGCUGGGCAGUUGCUGACACUGAGGCGCGACAGCGUGGGGAGCAAACAGGG
rnacentral:rRNA from 1 species